rnacentral:rRNA from 1 species
AACGAACGCUGGCGGCAUGCCUAACACAUGCGAGUCGAACGAGACCUUCGGGUCUAGUGGCGCACGGGUGCGUAACGCGUGGGAACAUGCCCUUAGGUUCGGAAUAACUCCCCGAAAGGGGUGCUAAUACCGGAUAAUGUCUUCGGACCAAAGAUUUAUCGCCUUUGGAUGGGCCCGCGUUGGAUUAGCUAGUUGGUAGGGUAAACGCCUACCACGGCGACGAUCCAUAGCUGGUCUGAGAGGAUGAGCAGCCACACUGGGACUGGGACACGGCCCAGACUCCUACGGGAGGCAGCAGUGGGGAAUAUUGGACAGUGGGCGGAAGCCUGAUCCAGCAAUGCCGCGUGAGUGAUGAAGGCCUUAGGGUUGUAAAGCUCUUUUACCCGGGAUGAUAAUGACAGUACCGGGAGAAUAAGCUCCGGCUAACUCCGUG